AUGACUUCGAGCCGCUGCUCGCCUACCUCUCCGACCCCUCCUCCAUCGCCUCGCUCACCUCGCCGUCUCCUCCGCCCUCUGUUCCAGCCCCCGAGCGCCGCCUCGCCGCGUCCUACUACGCCGUGCCGUCGCACCUCGCACGAGUGGCACGCUCUGCUCCGGGGCCUCGCCGCCAGCGACGCGUCCCUGCUGCUCGCCUUCGCGCUGCUCCCCUUCCUCCAGCGCCACCGCCUCUGCUUCCCGCUCGACCUGCUCCUCUCCUCGCUCUCCGUCUCCGAGCGCCUGCUCCCGCACUCGCUGCUGCUCUCCUUCUCGCCCUCCCCGCUCCUGCUCUGCCCCCAACUUCUCCUGCUCCGCCGUGGCCGGAAAGGAAGGGGGACUCGACAUGAGGACCGCUCUCCGCAAGCUAUUCCCUACACUUGGUCCCACGCAUCCCACUACAGUGACAACAGGGAGGCCGUCGAGAAAAGUAGCACCCUGAGUAGGGUGUCGUUGGCGGCCAUCGCAGUGCUACACUACCGUGAGCGGGAUCAAGGAACUGGGUCGUGGAGGGAGGCCCUUGUGUUGCUUUCGGCAAAAGGUGAAAAAUACCUCCGCAUGCACCAUCGAAAGCGUCAAAAUCAUCUACUUGUUGCCUCUUUGUUGACCAUUAUGCGGUUCACCGAUCUGUCAGCUCCGUCCUGCGGAGACACGAUGUUGAGUGAGAGGAUGCAUCAAUGUCGACGGCCGGGCAUGCACCUCUCGCAAAAGACUGACACGUCCAACAAUCAUACAUAUGUUGUCAACUCUCCGCUUCGAUGGCGGUGGCUAGGUCAACCUAGUAAGAAUUCACCCUUCCAAAGCACGAAACUUGCAGAUUGCCACCCAUCUUCAGUCACACUUGAGACCAGAGAGACUGAAAUUGGAGGCGCUGGAAUAGACCUCAUCUUCCUGGAAACCAGAGCAGUAACUAUCAAUCAGAUUUAUACCAAAGUGAAUCCCUACUACCCCCUAACUGAAAAAGGAAAAGGCACGAGCGAGCAGCGGCAGCAGCAGGGACACGCACGAGCGCGAGAGCAGCAGCAGUCGCCGCGCACGGGCUCGCCAGCGAGCAGUGGCAGCAGCAGGGACGCGCACGGGCUCGCCAGCGCGACAGGGGACAGGAAAAUAAAUCAAACAGGGGUCAAACAUACCUCUGGUGUAGCCGCUGCUGGCGACAUUGGAGUGCUCGACGUCUAUUCUUGUAGCUCCGGCGAACUCGACAAAAUAACAAUCCGGGUUGGGCACUCCAUUGAACUGUGUUCGACAAGGACACGGCCUGCAAUCCGAUCCAAAUCAGGCACGGGUCUCGUGCACGAGCACGGCGCCGCUCACGUCCCGCAGCCCCUGAAGCAAGCUGUUGACGCUUGCAUCGUCAAGCUGCAGCCGCCGUUGCUGGCUCCAGGACAACACCUCCUCCUCGUCGCCCGUCAAACCACCGGCCCGGCCCCGGCGCCAUCGGCAACGGCCCAACGUCGUGCUGCCGCGCCCGAGCCCCGGCGAGGCGGCCUCCAUCCUCCCAAGCGAGCACGCCGGCCGCCGCCAAUCCCUCGCGACCGCUGUAGCCCUCGCGAAGCCCCCGCCGGAGCGCCACCGGCCUGCGUCCUCCUGCGCCUCCUCGACCCCGCCUCCUCGCGCCCGCGCGCCGCCGCCUCGGCCUCGCCUCUUCGGCGACAAGCCCCCUCCGGAGCUUCCCGAGCUCGCUCGCCUCCUCGCCGGAAGCCGCCGCCGCCGGGAAUGGAUUCGCCAACUCCAGCUGCGACGCCUCGACCCGUUCCGGGAAUGGAUAAGUGGUGGAGCUGGCCGGUGGUGGCAGGGAAUUUCCAGAAAUUGCACGCCGCCGCCGCCGCCGAUGCCGCCGUCAGAUCACACCACGCUACCGCAGCCGUCGCCAUAUCACACCACGCAGCCGUUCAUGACUUCCGGCAAGCCCCGAUCCGGAUUCCUUCGGUUCCCAUAUCACACGACGCCGCCGCCGCCGCCACCAUAUCACACCACGCCGCCGCUGCCGUCGCCAUAUCACACUACGCAGCCGUUCAUGACUUCCGGCAAGCCCCGAUCCGGAUUCCCUCGGUUCCCAUAUCACACGACGACGCCGUCGCCGCCACCAUAUCACACCAUGCCGCCGCUGUCGUGCAGCCAUUCAUGAGUUUGGGAAAACCCAAUUUGGAUUCCCUUGGAUCCCCUCCAUCCUCCACACUUGGGCCGCCUCAAGCCCCGCGAUGCCGACGCGCUGGGUUUUGCCAUCACUCCGCACUGACCAGGGAUGAACGCCCCUGCAUCGCCGACCACGGAUGGACACCAUGCUUCUUCUACAUCUCCAGAGCAGCCGCCAUUUUCUUCGGUUAUUUAGGUUCCAGUCAACCCCCGCCUCGCCUGUAUGCGGCCCCCUCACUGAAGUUGCCUGUUUCCUCCCAUGAGGAUAAGUUGCAGGUGCAGGCAGCUAAGAGAAUACUGAACCAUGACCUUGGAUGCUUAGACUGCGGUGGCAGCGGCAACCUUCAGGACAAGUAA
rnacentral:rRNA from 1 species